GCGAACGCUGGCGGCAGGCCUAACACAUGCCAGUCGCACGAACCUUUCGGGGUUAGUGGCGGACGGGUGAGUAACACGUGGGAACGUGCCUUUAGGUUCGGAAUAACUCAGGGAAACUUGUGCUAAUACCGAAUGUGCCCUUCGGGGGAAAGAUUAAUCGCCUUUAGAGCGGCCCGCGUCUGAUUAGCUAGUUGGUUGAGGUAAUGGCUCACCAAGGCGACGAUCAGUAGCUGGUCUGAGAGGAUGAUCAGCCACAUUGGGACUGAGACACGGCCCAAACUCCUACGGGAGGCAGCAGUGGGGAAUCUUGCGCAAUGGGCGAAAGCCUGACGCAGCCAUGCCGCGUGAAUGAUGAAGGUCUUAGGAUUGUAAAAUUCUUUCACCGGGGACGAUAAUGACGGUACCCGGAGAAGAAGCCCCGGCUAACUUCGUG
rnacentral:rRNA from 1 species